GACCUCAGAUCAUACGGGGCCACCCGCUGAGUUUAA
rnacentral:rRNA from 1 species